rnacentral:rRNA from 1 species
UACGGAGACUGCGAGCGUUACUCGGAUUUACUGGGCGUAAAGGGUCCGUAGGCGGCCAUGUGUGUCGGGUGUGAAAUCCUGCAGCUCAACUGCAGAACUGCGCUCGAAACUACAUGACUAGAGUAUCGGAGAGGUGAGCAGAAUUCCUGGUGUAGCGGUGAAAUGCGUAGAUAUCAGGAGGAAUACCAACGGCGAAGGCAGCUCACUGGACGAUUACUGACGCUGAGGGACGAAAGCGUGGGGAGCGAAAGGGAUUAGAUACCCCCGUA